rnacentral:rRNA from 1 species
UACGAAGGGGGCUAGCGUUGCUCGGAAUCACUGGGCGUAAAGGGCGCGUAGGCGGCCACUGCAAGUCAGUUGUGAAAUCUCCGGGCUUAACCCGGAAAGGUCAACUGAUACUGCAGGGCUAGAGUGCAGAAGGGGCAACUGGAAUUCUCGGUGUAGCGGUGAAAUGCGUAGAUAUCGAGAGGAACACCUGCGGCGAAGGCGGGUUGCUGGGCUGACACUGACGCUGAGGCGCGAAAGCUAGGGGAGCGAACGGG